rnacentral:rRNA from 1 species
AUGAACGCUGACAGAAUGCUUAACACAUGCAAGUCAACUUGAACUUCGGUUUGGGUGGCGGACGGGUGAGUAACGCGUCAAGAACUUGCCUCACAGCUAGGGACAACAUUUGGAAACGAAUGCUAAUACCUGAUAUUAUGAUUAUAUGGCAUCGUAUAAUUAUGAAAGCUAUAUGCGCUGUGAGAGAGCUUUGCGUCCCAUUAGCUAGUUGGAGAGGUAACAGCUCACCAAGGCGAUGAUGGGUAGCCGGCCUGAGAGGGUGAUCGGCCACAAGGGGACUGAGACACGGCCCUUACUCCUACGGGAGGCAGCAGUGGGGAAUAUUGGACAAUGGACCGAGAGUCUGAUCCAGCAAUUCUGUGUGCACGAUGAAGUUUUUCGGAAUGUAAAGUGCUUUCAGUUGGGAAGAAAAAAAUGACGGUACCAACAGAAGAAGUGACGGCUAAAUACGUG